CACAGAUGAGAGAUAUUUGUUGGCCUGAAGCCAUCCUUACCCACUGAGACCAGCAUCACAUCUCUGUAGAGGUUCUUCUGCACAGAAUCCAGCAAAGACCACUCCUCCAAGGUGAAGUCCACAGCCACAUCCUCAAAGACCACUGAGUCCUGACAUAUACAAGUGUGUGGAGGAAGAAGGACUCUUCUUUUGCGACUCCAGCCAUACUCUCUGCAACAUCUGGUGUAGUCGGCAGGAUACAGUGCGGCAAACAGUUUUCGAGACUACUUUUGGUUUACAGUCGCGAAGGACCAAAGUGGAGCGGUAGGACAGAUAGAGAUAUCUGGCUUCCAGCCUGGCGAUCAAAACCACGAUAUGAACAGUUGGACGAAGACAAAAAGAUUCGACAAUUUUCGACCACUGGAGGAAGAUAUGGAAGAAUUAAGCCUGG